UACGAAGGGGGCAAGCGUUGUUCGGAUUUACUGGGCGUAAAGGGCGCGUAGGCGGAUGUUCAAGUCAGAGGUGAAAGCCCUGGGCUCAACCCGGGAAUUGCCUUUGAAACUGGACGUCUUGAGUAUGGGAGAGGGUGGCGGAAUACCCAGUGUAGAGGUGAAAUUCGUAGAUAUUGGGUAGAACACCAGUGGCGAAGGCGGCCACCUGGCCCAUAACUGACGCUGAGGCGCGAAAGCGUGGGGAGCAAACAGG
rnacentral:rRNA from 1 species